GCAUUGGUGGUUCAGUGGUAGGAUUCUCACCUUCCAUAUGGGAUACCUGGGUUUGACUUCCAGCCAGUGCA
rnacentral:tRNA from 1 species